CCCCAAUGAAGACACCUAGUAAGUGAUGACAAGAGAGUGAAAAAGAAAGGGAAGAGAGCUCAACUCCGGUGCUAUUGGAAAUGAACACGUAGGUGUUUACAGAGGGCGGAGCGACUUUCUCAUGCCAUCUUUGAUUGAAUGUUACAUGUGAGAUUGCAGAGAAGAGCUGUUGGAUCAUCUGGCUAAUUAAUUACUGCAUUCCAGUCAAAAAACUUUUGAUCGAAAUCCACAAGUGAUUCACAGAGAUAAAUUUCUCUCCUAAUUCAUGAUCUUAUUCCCGAAUCACCGGUGUCUGCAGCAGUGUGAAGCGAGCGGCCGAAAGACAACAAUAAACUCCCGGAAGUACCUGAUUUUUCAUAAUAAG